AUUGCUGCUUAGCUUCAGGACAGCCCUAAUCGAGUAGAACUCUUAAAGAUGUAUAUUAUCAAAGGCGUUCCAGCCGUGUAUAUCUCGUCCAAUUUUUAAACCAUGGACUAUAUUAACCAAUGUAUCCCUUUAUAUUCAAAAUAACAGGGUGUAAUUUUAGAGACAUUUUGUUGUUAUUUCUAACAAGUUGAGCAAUAUGCAUAGAGAAGCUUCGGAAAGGCUUCCUAGUAGAGGUAAUAUGUAGCAUAUAUGCCUCUCUCAGAAGCAUUAUUUAUGACGUAAUUGUAGAAACGGUGAAGCGUUGCACUAAAUGGCUUUACUGUAUUUAAGUUUUGCCUCUCUGUGUUCCAUGUUUCAAUCCUCCCAGUGUUAAAUCCAUUCCUUUUUCAACAAUCGGGAAUAAUUACAAGUGAAAUGCUGAAGUUUCGAUCGGGUCGACUCUAACCCUCCCUUAAAUUUAUAUGCGUGGGCUUAAGCCAAUAAAAAUUUUAGAAAAAUGUUACAGAGGUUUAAAGUUUGAUCAUGUUUACCCAAUCAGAAAACAGGAUUUGGAACCAAGCAUCUUGUGCGUGAUAGCUGUGUAUCAUAAAAUGAAAGCUUUGCACCUCCGUAGGAAGAAUUAUUUUGCUGCUGUUAUUUUUUGAUUCAGUUAUAAGAACUUGAAGGGGUCUUUGAUGUCUAGAUGCCAAUUUUGGCAUCUUUCAUGGAACCCGCUAUUGACUACUUUAU
rnacentral:lncRNA from 1 species